rnacentral:misc_RNA from 1 species
AAGUCGUAACAAGGUCUCCGUUGGUGAACCAGCGGAGGGAUCAUUACCGAGCUUACAACUCCCAAACCCCUGUGAACAUACCUAUCGUUGCCUCGGCGGGCUCGCCCCGGCGCCCCCGGGCCCGGACCUAGGCGCCCGCCGCAGGACCCCGAACUCUUGUCUCUGACGUGUAUCUUCUGAGUGACACAAGCAAAUAAAUAAAAACUUUCAACAACGGAUCUCUUGGUUCUG